CCGGCGACCGGCGCACGGGUGAGUAACACGUAUGCAACCUGCCCUCUUCAGGGGGACAACCUUCCGAAAGGGAGGCUAAUCCCGCGUAUAUCGGUUUCGGGCAUCCGAGAUCGAGGAAAGAUUCAUCGGAAGAGGAUGGGCAUGCGGCGCAUUAGCUAGACGGCGGGGUAACGGCCCACCAUGGCGACGAUGCGUAGGGGUUCUGAGAGGAAGGUCCCCCACACUGGUACUGAGACACGGACCAGACUCCUACGGGAGGCAGCAG
rnacentral:rRNA from 1 species